GUGAGGAAUAUUGCGCAAUGGAGGCAACUCUGACGCAGCGAUGCCGCGUGCAGGAAGAAGGCGCUACGCGUUGUAAACUGCUUUUAACCGGGAAGAAACCCCAGGACGUGUCCUGGGUUGACGGUACCGGAGGAAUAAGCACCGGCUAACUUCGUGCCAGCAGCCGCGGUAAUACGAAGGGUGCAAGCGUUAUCCGGAUUCAUUGGGUUUAAAGGGUGCGUAGGCGGAGCGUUAAGUCAGUGGUGAAAUCCUGCAGCUUAACUGUAGACUUGCCAUUGAUACUGGCGCUCUUGAGUGCGCUUGAAGUGGGCGGAAUGUGCCGUGUAGCGGUGAAAUGCUUAGAUAUGGCACAGAACACCAAUUGCGAAGGCAGCUCACUAAGGCGAUACUGACGCUGAGGCACGAAAGCGUGGGGAUCGAACAGGAUUAGAAACCCGGGUAGUCC
rnacentral:rRNA from 1 species